ensembl:lncRNA
AGUGUCUCAGUAGUGUGUGUGAGUGUGUCUCAGUUGUGUGUGUGAGUGUGUCUCAGUAGUGUGUGUGAGUGUGUCUCAGUAGUGUGUGUGAGAGUGUCUCAUGUCUCAGUAGUGUGUGUGAGUGUGUCUCAGUAGUGUGUGUGAGUGUGUCUCAGUAGUGUGUGUGAGAGUGUCUCAUGUCUCAGUAGUUAAGUCCUAAACGGCCCCUCAUACCAGCCCCCCCGCGACCCUGUGUUCAGGAUAAGCGGUUUGACAAUGGAUGGAUGGAUGGACUUUUUGUUCGCACUCCAGCAGCAUCCGUGUGUGUUGGCCCCACUCUGGUGCCACUCUAAGACAAACCUUACAGCUGCCGACAUGGAAAGCCUGUUCACACCACUCCUCAGUCCAGCAGGAAGUAAUAGUCAGCAGAAAGAAGGCAAAGCCCUUGGAUUUUGGGCAGAUUUUCUUCUUGAUUGAGAAGGUUUGUUAUAGCUUUUUUAUAUGGUGUUUGUAUUUUUUACAACAUAUUAUUUUACACAACAGGGAACUACUAUAACUAUUGAGUAACUACAAGUAGGCUACUACAAAAAUAAUUAACUGCUGCCAAUAUCAGCUAGAUGUAUCUGUGUGAAUGCGUAGGUGUAAAGGCACUGCAUGGCCCCUCAUGCAUCCAGUCUGUUUUACCUGCUGAAAUACCGUAUACCUUUAAAAUUACUUUUGGGCAGAUGAAUACUAACAGUGGAUUACAUACCUUCCUUUUCUCAAAAUGGACCACCACGCCGCGAUUCGUUGAUUCCCAGCCGAUGAUCCACAAUUGUGGCUUGAGGAGCCUGCAUAGUAGUCUGUGCGCUCGUGUCGGAGGGUACACUGUAUUGCGGCCAUGGUGCCAUUUUCGCUUCCAUGGUCUGUCCUCAGUCUCAUUGGGAUCACACCAACACUCUUGACACAACUGAUGUAGUUGUGGGCGAUGACCGAUGGGUUGUUGUUAGUAGCCCCACAAACAAGCACAUGAUCCUUCUUGAAAACCCGUCUAUACAUCCUGAGAGAGCCAAGCCAAAGGGUUUCAGCUUAUCGUAUCCAUCUACAUGCCAGAUGUAGUUUGGACCCAUGGAGUGAUACGUACGCCUCGCAAACCUCCGGCGUGUUCUCGUAUCCGUUCCUUGUGGAUUUAGUUGCUUCAGCAAUCUGAUAACUGUCGUUUAACACGUUUGCUGAAGUAAUUGCCACAUCAGAACAGUUGCCCUGGUCCACGCAGCUCUGUAAGGAUGGCAUGUCUCACCUCAUCCCAAUGCGAAUAGAUUUCCCUUUUUUACAACCCUGCUUUACUCAAAUGUGACUUCAAAGUCCGUGUACUCAUACUGAUGUUGUGAUUGGUGGACAACAUAUCAACUAUCACGUCGUGUGUAUGCCCUGCAUCAAAAUAAUUCUUAAUAAUAGCAAAAGUCAUGUUUUCAAAUAGGGCGCUUUUCCGUGUUUUUCACAUCUCCUUCCUGUUGACAGACAGACAGUCAGUCUGUCCAAUCAGAAGGGUCUGUUCUCUGCUUCCUGCUUUAAGAGCCUACCCUUUUCCUAAGAAGUUAAUUUGUGUUUUCCUAUUUGCAGUUGUGCGUUCCUAUUUGCUGUUGUGUUUUGCACUUCAUGGCCUGUAGGUUUACGGGUUU